CCCAGCUUUGCUGUCAGGCGUCCAAAUAAUUGUCCUUAACCAUGUCAACCAGACAAACACAGCUGCUGACUUGCGUCACAUGCUGAUUAUGUUUAUUUACAGCUUAGUUUGAGCAGUAGUGCAAAUCUAACUCAUUGGUCCAGCUUAUGGUUCAAUGUAGAGAGAGUGACGACGAUGAGGAGUUUAAUUUGACCUAACAAAACAACUACAAGAGAACUGUAGUUGCAGCGGAAAAAUAUUUUACUUAGUACUGAGGAUCAAGCAAAUUCUUGGACAGAGUUGAGAUACGCUUCGCCUAUAAAAGGAACAAGGUUAAUAGCAAAGCUUUUAUCGUUGUGCUCCAGGGCAUCCAAGAGGCCUCCAGGCUGCCUUCUGGAAGAGGAUGAUGGUCCCUGCUCAUAGGCCAUGUACGCCCCGGCCUCUCCGUUACCUGAGACAAGAAACAGAGCCUGAUAAAUA